GUAGGGUGCAAGCGUUAAUCGGAAUUACUGGGCGUAAAGCGUGCGCAGGCGGUUCGGAAAGAAAGAUGUGAAAUCCCAGAGCUUAACUUUGGAACUGCAUUUUUAACUACCGGGCUAGAGUGUGUCAGAGGGAGGUGGAAUUCCGCGUGUAGCAGUGAAAUGCGUAGAUAUGCGGAGGAACACCGAUGGCGAAGGCAGCCUCCUGGGAUAACACUGACGCUCAUGCACGAAAGCGUGGGGGAGCAAACAGGAUUAGAUACCUGGUAGUCCACGCCCUAAACGAUGUCAACUAGCUGUUGGGGCCCUUCGGGCCCUUAGUAGCGCAGCUAACGCGUGAAGUUGACCGCCUGGGAGUACGGUCGCAAGAUUA
rnacentral:rRNA from 1 species